rnacentral:rRNA from 1 species
UGGGGAAUAUUGCACAAUGGGCGAAAGCCUGAUGCAGCGACGCCGCGUGAGGGAUGACGGCCUUCGGGUUGUAAACCUCUUUCAGCAGGGACGAAGCGCAAGUGACGGUACCUGCAGAAGAAGCACCGGCUAACUACGUGCCAGCAGCCGCGGUAAUACGUAGGGUGCAAGCGUUGUCCGGAAUUACUGGGCGUAAAGAGUUCGUAGGCAGUUUGUCGCGUCGUUUGUGAAAACCAGCAGCUCAACUGCUGGCUUGCAGGCGAUACGGGCAGACUUGAGUACUGCAGGGGAGACUGGAAUUCCUGGUGUAGCGGUGAAAUGCGCAGAUAUCAGGAGGAACACCGGUGGCGAAGGCGGGUCUCUGGGCAGUAACUGACGCUGAGGAACGAAAGCGUGGGUAGCGAACAGG